UUAUAAUCUGACACUCAUGUUCUUCCAAAAUAGAGUAUCUGAAGAUGUUCUGCUACAAUUGAAUAUUAUAAAGCAAUUCAAAGCCUCUGCCAAAUUAGAAGCAGCAUGUUUUUGCCGGCAAAAUGAGUGUUUCAUGAAACAGGGCAUUCUGACCCACAUAUCCAUCUUAGGAUGACAGAAAGCAUUUAUAUUUUUUUACAGAUAUCACCUCAUCGUUUUUUUUAAAAGAUUUCUUUUUAAUAAGAACAAACAUUGAAGUGAGAAAACUUUUCUUAAAGCUAUGCUGACUGGCGAUGCAGUUGUGAAAAAUACUUGAAAUUUCGUUUUUCAUAAUCACACAGCACAGCAUGAUGUAAUUCAUAUUAUGAAAAAAGUUAAAAUAUUUGUAUCUAUACAAGUUGUCAAUAAGCUUUAACACUUAUUAAAGCUUUAACAGUUAACAAAGCAGGAGAAAAAGCCACUUUGACACAAAUAAUUUUUAUUAUUCAAACAUAUUCCCUUUGUUAAUAGCCAUGGUAGUGGUUUUCAAUGUAACAGAAAUCAGCGCAGACAGUGCACACAACGAUUCUUAGACGGUAAGCAGAACCAACCUGACCCAUACCUGACUAAAUCACUCAUUCUUUUUUUGUUAUAAACUUGUUACAGUCUUUCGUGGAGUUGUUUACUGGAUUGUAAACAGUGAGGUGUAAACUUGGAAAAAUUAAACAACAGUCUUUAUAAGGGACAAGAGACAACACUAAAUUCAUACAGAAACCUCUGUCUCCAACCCCUUCUGCCUAAUAUGAAGAAACAAAAAAUAAACCACUUAAAAGAUGACUUGAUACCCAGUUUAUCGACUCAAAGUGUUUUCUGUGCUCAUUGCUAAUGACAGCCUCAGUAAACCUCAGACACCCUUUUUUUCAGGGGGUGCGUCAUGCUGACAACCCCUUCAUAUUACAAUCAGCAAGAGGUAACACAAGCAACUAUCAGCAUGUCACAAGAUACUGACUUGUGCUUAUAGAGUAGUAUCUUAUUCCCAUAAAAAAGUAACAUUGCUGCACCCAGUGUGCACAAGAUUUUAAUUUGUGCAUACAGGAUGUCUUGAUCCAACAAGAAUAUGACAACAUAACUGUC